UAGGGAAUCUUCGGCAAUGGACGAAAGUCUGACCGAGCAACGCCGCGUGAGUGAAGAAGGUUUUCGGAUCGUAAAACUCUGUUGUUAGAGAAGAACAAGGACGUUAGUAACUGAACGUCCCCUGACGGUAUCUAACCAAAAAGCCACGGCUAACUACGUGCCAGCAGCCGCGGUAAUACGUAGGUGGCAAGCGUUGUCCGGAUUUAUUGGGCGUAAAGCGGGCGCAGGUGGUUUCUUAAGUCUGAUGUGAAAGCCCCCGGCUCAACCGGGGAGGGUCAUUGGAAACUGGGAGGCUUGAGUGCAGAAGAGGAGGGUGGAAUUCCAGGUGUAGCGGUGAAAUGCGUAGAUAUAUGGAGGAACACCGGUGGCGAAGGCGGCUCUCUGGUCUGUAACUGACGCUGAGGCUCGAAAGCGUGGGGAGCAAAAAGG
rnacentral:rRNA from 1 species